UACAGAGGUCCCAAGCGUUGUUCGGAUUCACUGGGCGUAAAGGGUGCGUAGGCGGUCGGGGAAGUCUGAUGUGAAAUCUCACAGCUUAACUGUGAAACUGCAUUGGAUACUAUCCGGCUCGAGGAAUGGAGGGGAGACUGGAAUACUUGGUGUAGCAGUGAAAUGCGUAGAUAUCAAGUGGAACACCAGUGGCGAAGGCGAGUCUCUAGACAUUUCCUGACGCUGAGGCACGAAAGCCAGGGGAGCAAACGGG
rnacentral:rRNA from 1 species